ensembl:lncRNA
GACGCCAUUUUCUUUGCUCGCUAUGCGGCGCACAUGAGGACGGAAAACGAUGAGGAUGUGAUUUAUUUUCUAUCAGGGAAAUCUGAAAAGAGAUAUUUUCUUUCACUCACGAUGGGGAGAAGACGGGGAAUUUGGUUUUAUCAAAGGAAAACAGCAUAAAUUUGAAUCGCUAUGCGGUGUAGACGCAGAGGUUGCUUGGAAAGGGAAGCGUUUUAUCUAAUUUAAAAUAUGUAUUUUAUUACAUCAUAUUGAUUUAUAGCGACAUUAAUAUGUUGUGCGCUCCUACACUUUCCUCAGAGAAAUAUUUUCUUUCACUCGCGAAGCGGAGCAGACGGGGAAGUUGGUUUUAACAAGAAAAACACCGAAAACAGAGCCCUGCCUCAGCGCAAUGAGAUCAGCAUGGAAUUCAGGAAUUGUGACCUAUUUUCCAAAGCACUUUUGUGAUGCUGCAAGUGGGAGUGGAUUUCUUGCUUAGCUGGAAACUGCAGAGAUUCACAUCUUGUCGUCCUGAAAAAAAGAAAGAGACAACUUUCUCCAAGGAGGUCCAAACGCCAUUGGCAAAGACUUUGUUCAGUGAUCAGUAACACACAUUCAGCCAGGGCCGUCCUUAGGGGGGUGCAACUGGUGCACCGGGCCCCGCACUUGAGGGGUAAACUGACUGAAUGCCCCCACCUUGGGAACGUGAUUGGACCAUCAGCUAAGUACGGCCCUGCAUUCAGCUUUGAUGGUAAUGAAUGAGAUGCUGUGGUUUAAGCAGAUAAAUGUAAGCACUAUAAACCAAAUGAAAUUCAGAAUACAUAUGGACCAAAUAAGAAUACGUAUUUUGUGCCUUUGCACUGAUUUGCUUUGGCAUUUUUUACAUUUUUGUAAGAACAUGUUCUUUACAUGUAUUGAAAACACUGAAAGUGAAGACAUUUUGGUGCAGGGAAAAAGAGUUACAGUGUUUCAAUUAAAAUAAAUACAAUUUUACACUUUCGAAAGUGUUAUUUUACCUCCAAAAUGGAGGGAGUGUUAAAUUUAACUUGAAUUGAGUUCAUUGUACACUGGCUUUCUUGCUGUGUAGCCGGUUUAAAUGACUUUCUUGAGAGAUGCGUACGCAGAUUGCUCUUUCAAACCCUCAAUGCCUCUAUUAGAGAUCAGAAGCACAUAUCAUAAACAUGUCCUGGUAACUACACCUCUCUAAAAUACCUUUGCAACCGCAUCUGGAUGCAAUAAAAAUGUUCUCUGAAAUGAUGGAACCAAAAAUGACAUGUUUAUAUCCCUGGAAGGAUGAAACUGGCUUAAGAAUGAGCAAAACCUUUCCAUUUGAGAGCAAAACUGGUUAUAGCAGGGAACUGCAUCAUGGCAAUUGUUGGUGGUUUGUUAUGAGCUCUUAUAUCAUUUGUGUACAUAAUGUUUAGUAUAAUAUUAUGCUUACCUCAAUUCAGUUCAAAUUUGGUAUGCUGUUUCAUUCAAUGUUUCAGCUGUUUCUCACAGACAGAGCCAUUAAGGAAACUCUUUAUUCUAAGUGUAAGGUCUUUCUGAUGAUUCAUCUUUCAGUCAAUUAUAGCAUGUUUUUGUCAAAGUGUUUGCAUAUUCUCAUUUUACUCCAUUCAGUUACUGUCAUCCUUUUUUCUUUUUUCUUUUUUUUGGAGUGAACUGAUCAAACCUCAUUUUUUUUCGGAAUCCAUUUGUACAACA